GGUGGAGUAGCCUAGCGGCCAAGGGCGCCUGGUUUACAUCCAGAAGAUCGUAGGUUCGAAUCCUACCUCCACUACCA
rnacentral:tRNA from 1 species